rnacentral:rRNA from 1 species
GCCGGGGGAUGCAAUCGUUAUCCGGAAUGACUGGGCGUAAAGCGUCUGCAGGUGGCGAUUCAAGUCAGCGGUGAAAGACCCGGGCUCAACCGGAGAAAGGCCGGUGAAACUGAAUGGCUAGAGUGUAGAUCAGGUAGAGGGAAUUCCCAGAGUAGCGGUGAAAUGCGUAGAGACAGGGAAGAACACCGGAGGCGAAAGCGUUCUGCUGGACCACAACUGACACUGAGAGACGAAAGCUAGGGGAGCGAAUGGG